GAUGAACGCUGGCGGCGUGCCUAAUACAUGCAAGUCGAGCGAACGGACGAGAAGCUUGCUUCUCUGAUGUUAGCGGCGGACGGGUGAGUAACACGUGGAUAACCUACCUAUAAGACUGGGAUAACUUCGGGAAACCGGAGCUAAUACCGGAUAAUAUUUUGAACCGCAUGGUUCAAAAGUGAAAGACGGUCUUGCUGUCACUUAUAGAUGGAUCCGCGCUGCAUUAGCUAGUUGGUAAGGUAACGGCUUACCAAGGCAACGAUGCAUAGCCGACCUGAGAGGGUGAUCGGCCACACUGGAACUGAGACACGGUCCAGACUCCUACGGGAGGCAGCAGUAGGGAAUCUUCCGCAAUGGGCGAAAGCCUGACGGAGCAACGCCGCGUGAGUGAUGAAGGUCUUCGGAUCGUAAAACUCUGUUAUUAGGGAAGAACAUAUGUGUAAGUAACUGUGCACAUCUUGACGGUACCUAAUCAGAAAGCCACGGCUAACUACGUGCCAGCAGCCGCGGUAAUACGUAGGUGGCAAGCGUUAUCCGGAAUUAUUGGGCGUAAAGCGCGCGUAGGCGGUUUUUUAAGUCUGAUGUGAAAGCCCACGGCUCAACCGUGGAGGGUCAUUGGAAACUGGAAAACUUGAGUGCAGAAGAGGAAAGUGGAAUUCCAUGUGUAGCGGUGAAAUGCGCAGAGAUAUGGAGGAACACCAGUGGCGAAGGCGACUUUCUGGUCUGUAACUGACGCUGAUGUGCGAAAGCGUGGGGAUCAAACAGGAUUAGAUACCCUGGUAGUCCACGCCGUAAACGAUGAGUGCUAAGUGUUAGGGGGUUUCCGCCCCUUAGUGCUGCAGCUAACGCAUUAAGCACUCCGCCUGGGGAGUACGACCGCAAGGUUGAAACUCAAAGGAAUUGACGGGGACCCGCACAAGCGGUGGAGCAUGUGGUUUAAUUCGAAGCAACGCGAAGAACCUUACCAAAUCUUGACAUCCUUUGACAACUCUAGAGAUAGAGCUUUCCCCUUCGGGGGACAAAGUGACAGGUGGUGCAUGGUUGUCGUCAGCUCGUGUCGUGAGAUGUUGGGUUAAGUCCCGCAACGAGCGCAACCCUUAAGCUUAGUUGCCAUCAUUAAGUUGGGCACUCUAAGUUGACUGCCGGUGAUAAACCGGAGGAAGGUGGGGAUGACGUCAAAUCAUCAUGCCCCUUAUGGUUUGGGCUACACACGUGCUACAAUGGACAAUACAAAGGGCAGCGAAACCGUGAGGUCAAGCAAAUCCCAUAAAGUUGUUCUCAGUUCGGAUUGUAGUCUGCAACUCGACUACAUGAAGCUGGAAUCGCUAGUAAUCGUAGAUCAGCAUGCUACGGUGAAUACGUUCCCGGGUCU
rnacentral:rRNA from 1 species